GCUUAAUAUGUUUUGCCUUUGCAGGAAGCCCAGUGUGGACUACACUAUCUUUACACUAUUUGCAAUCUGACCAGGAUUUCAUCUUGACCGGUCAUGUUGACCCUGGAUUACAUGUCUGGAGACAGCCUCUAAUUCCUCAUUUCUGAGAUCUGACCACCACAUGACAGGAAGGAGCUGCUGAAACAGUUCUACUCCACCAUCAUUGAAUCUGUCCUCUGCACUACCAAAUCUGACCUCAGAAGACUAUGACUAGACACAGGAACAGUUUCUUCCUCCAGGCAAUCCAUCUAAUGAACACUUGUCUAUAACUGUGGAACACACAACACUAUUUAUACACUAUUUUUAUUUAUACAUAUGUGUAAACAUA
ensembl:lncRNA